AUGCUCAUGGCAGCACAUGUACUAAAAUUGGAACGACACAGAGGAAGAUUAGCAUGGCUCCUGCACAAGGAUGGCAUGCAAAUUCAUGAAGUGUAUUUUAAAUUU
ensembl:snRNA U6 U6 spliceosomal RNA